AAAGGGAGACCUAAUUCGGGUAUAAGACGAAAAAAUAGUAGUCGAAACCAAGAAUCAAUCCCAAAAGGUCGGAACGAGGUAUGUGGCUUUCAAACUAGGUUCUGGGUUCAUAAAAGACCUGAAUCAGGAACAAGGGCUAUUAGCUCAGGUGGUUAGAGCGCACCCCUGAUAAGGGUGAGGUCCCUGGUUCGAGUCCAGGAUGGCCCACCUGCACAGGUGGCAAAAACAAGAGAAGCGAGGAAUCAGCACCUUAUCCUAAUUUAUAUAUAGGAGAGAAUGCUGGCUCUGAGUACAGAGUCCAGAGGAACCUUGAAAACUGCAUAGAGCUAGGUGAAAAAGCCAAAAAAGAAGACCGCAAG
rnacentral:tRNA from 1 species